AUUGAACGCUGGCGGCAGGCCUAACACAUGCAAGUCGAACGAGUGGCGGACGGGUGAGUAAUGCAUGGGAAUCUGCCUUAUGGAGGGGGAUAACUACGGGAAACUGUAGCUAAUACCGCGUACCAUAGGAUGAGCCCAAGUGGGAUUAGGUAGUUGGUGAGGUAAAGGCUCACCAAGACGACGAUCUCUAGCUGGUCUGAGAGGGUGACCAGACACCGUGGGCCUUAGACCCGGCCCAUACUCCUACGGGAGGCAGCAGUGGGGAAUAUUGCGCAAUGGGCGCAAGCUGACGGAGCCAGUCCGCGUGAGUGAAGAAGGCCUUCGGGUUGUAAAUUUCUUUCAGUAGCGAGGCGUUAACUACAGAAGAAGCACCGGCUAACUCCGUGCCAGCAGCCGCGGUAAUAC
rnacentral:rRNA from 1 species